GCACAGAAAUGCUCUCCAUACCAUGCUGCAGAGGGAGGGAUGGCAUGAGUGAGUCAAGACUGUCUUUCCUAUCUCUUCAAUGCCUCUUUCAGUGAUACAAGUUAAAACCAGGUUUGUGAACAUCCACGUGCAGAGAUUGGAUCUAUGGAAACGGCACUGCUCCAGAGACUGCGCUGAACCAGCAAAGAAUGAACUGUGAUAACAAGCAGGGAGCUCUGUCCCUGAGAACGCCUCACAGAAAGACUGAAACCACAGUUGCUGACCUGAGAGGGGAGCAGGAGGUGGAAACUGGAAGGCAGUAGUCUAACAUGAGAGCUGAAGAGGCUACACAGAGAUGGGAAGAUCUCCUAAUGCACUGAUCAUUUGUUGUCUCACAUGGUUAGGUAGAUUAUCAUACCACCUGCAAAUAAUUACAGUUUUGUCUUUUUCUUCCCCAUACUUAUACCUCUCAUUUUAAAAUUUAUUUUGUAUCAUUUUGUCUAGGGACCUCAGUACAAUUUUAAAUAAUCAUGGUUACAAUAACCAAAUGUAUCCAGCUUAGAUGGAAAUGUCAGUGUUUCAACAUAAAGUAUUUAUUAUAGAUUAAGUAUUUAUUAUAGAUGGCAGCAGAUACCCUUAUCAAAUUCAAAAAGGUUGGUUCUAGUGCCAAUUGACUUAGAGUUUUUCUUUCUUUCUUUCUUUUUUGUUUUUGGUUUAAAAUUAGGAGUGUAUCAGUUUGUCAGGGUUCUCCAGAGAAACAUAACCAAGAAGAUGGAUGAUGGAUAGAUGGAUGGAUGGAUGGAUGGAUGGAUGGAUGGAUGGAUGGAUGGAUGGAUAGACAGGCAGGCAGGCGGAUGGAUGGAUGGAUAGAUAGAUAGAUAGAUAGAUAGAUAGAUAGAUAGAUAGAUAGAUAAAUUUUAAGGAACUGGCUUACACCAUUGCAGAAGCUGGCAAAUCCAAAAUCUGCAGGGUAGGCUUGCAGGUUGGAGAGUCACGGAAGACCCAAUGCAGCAGUUUGAGCUUGAAAGUGGUCUGCUGGGAGAAUGUCUUCUUCCUCUGGGGAGGUCAGUCUUUUUUCUCUUAAGACUUCCAACUGAUUGAAUGAGGCCUACCCACAUUACAACAGGUAAUCUGCUUUAUUCUAAGUCUAUUGAUUUUAAUGUUAAUUUCAUCUAAAAAAUAUCUUCACAGAAACAUCUAGAAUAGUGUUUGACCAAAUAUCUGGGUACCAUAGCCUAGAGAAGUUGACACAUAAAAUUAACCGUCACAAAGAGUUGGAUUUUAUCAAGCACAUGUUUGGUGGAGAAACCUAAUCCGAAUGCACUGAAAGAGUUCUAAUUAGACAUUUCAUGGGCCUCUGAGGCUCCCUGAGGAAAGUAAGAGAGAAGGUCAAAACACAUGUCCCUCUUGGAAUGGGGGCCUGAGUCCAUGCUGCAGGGAGCUGGCUGUGGAGAGUGAAGCCCUUUCAGAGGUCAGCACCCACUGACCUGAGCCACUGAUCAUUGCAUGAUGACGUGAACUCAACAUAAAAUGUGGGGAGUGGGAGUUUCUUCUGAGAACAGUUCCUGUGAUGUCUGGCAAUAGGAGCGUUGACUGGAACAUGUGGAUAUACCUUUUCCACCAUGAAACAUUUGAAAAACUCCAAAGUUUGGACUCAGGGAUUCUGCAAUGGACUAACAGAGUGGCCAUGGUAGCAGGAAUGGAAGCUUUGUAUGGACCCAAUGGGCUCCCUUCUUCAAGGAUUGUGUAGCUAGUGCCACCAAUAAAGGCCAAUCAACCACCAGCAGUGAUCAACACAGAGCCCGCAGUAUGACACCGUCCUUGGAAAGACCACCAAGAUACUUUGUGGCAUAUUCAUUAUUUUAGAUCUUUUCCACUCUGGAGAGGGUAAUGAUUUACCUUUGAAGUGACUAUUCCUGGUGUGGAUUUAUCCACAGUGCCUUCAACCAUCUGAGGGCUUAUAGAAUGUCUAGUCUAUUGGCAUCAGAUCCUAUACAACACUGCCUCAGACCAACAUGCAUAAUUUAUGGCAAAGGAGAUGACAAAUGGACUCAAUCAUAGGCUUCACUGAUUUUAUCACGUACACCAUCAUCCUGAAAUUUCUAGAUCUCCCCACUACUUCUUAAUUUGGAUGAAGAAUUACCCUAUAGGACAGGGGUCAGCAAACUGUGACCUGUGCCUUGAAUCCAGUCUGCUGCUUGUUUUGGUAGAUAAAGUUUGAUUGGAACACAGUCAUGCCCAUUUAUUUAUGUAUUGUAUAUAUUUGCUUUCACAGUAUAAUGUCAGAAUUGAGAAGUUAUGAAAGAAACUGCAUGGACUGCAAAUUUACUAAAAGCGAUUCUCCUGCCUCAGCCUCCAGAGUAGCUGGGAUUACAAGAGUGCACCAUCACACCAGCUAAUUUUUGUAUGUUUAGUAGAGAUGGGGAUUCACCAUGUUGGUCAGUCUGGUCUCAAACUCUUGGCCUCAGGUGAUCCACCCACGUCGGCCUCUCAAAGUGCUGUGAUUACAGGUGUGAGCCACCCUGCAUGGCCAGCAUCUGUCUUUUACUUGAGCAUAGGUCAGAUUUUUCAGGUCUUAGUAUGUCUAGUAAUUUGGAUUUUGCCUGGACAUUUUGUGUAUUAUACUGUGAAGCUCUGGGUCUUAUUAAAAUCCUCUGGAG
rnacentral:lncRNA from 10 species